rnacentral:rRNA from 1 species
GAUGAACGCUUGCGGCAGGCCUAAUACAUGCAAGUCGAACGAGAUUAAGAGGCUUGCUUCUUAUGAAAGUGGCGCACGGGUGCGUAACGCGUAUGCAACCUACCUUAAUCAGGGGGAUAGCCCGAAGAAAUUCGGAUUAAGACCGCAUAAAAACACAGGAUAGCAUUAUCCAAUGUUCAAAUAUUUCUAGGAUUAAGAUGGGCAUGCGUGUCAUUAGCUAGUUGGCGGGGUAACGGCCCACCAAGGCGACGAUGACUAGGGGAUCUGAGAGGAUGACCCCCCACACUGGUACUGAGACACGGACCAGACUCCUACGGGAGGCAGCAGUAAGGAAUAUUGGUCAAUGGAGGGAACUCUGAACCAGCCAUGCCGCGUGCAGGAAGACAGCCCUCUGGGUCGUAAACUGCUUUUAUUCGGGAAUAAACCUUUCUACGCGUAGGAAGCUGAAUGUACCGAAGGAAUAAGGAUCGGCUAACUCCGUG